UGCAAGUCGAGCGCCCCGCAAGGGGAGCGGCAGACGGGUGAGUAACGCGUGGGAAUCUACCUUUUGCUACGGAAUAACUCAGGGAAACUUGUGCUAAUACCGUAUGUGCCCUUCGGGGGAAAGAUUUAUCGGCAAAGGAUGAGCCCGCGUUGGAUUAGCUAGUUGGUGAGGUAAAGGCUCACCAAGGCGACGAUCCAUAGCUGGUCUGAGAGGAUGAUCAGCCACACUGGGACUGAGACACGGCCCAGACUCCUACGGGAGGCAGCAGUGGGGAAUAUUGGACAAUGGGCGCAAGCCUGAUCCAGCCAUGCCGCGUGAGUGAUGAAGGCCCUAGGGUUGUAAAGCUCUUUCAACGGUGAAGAUAAUGACGGUAACCGUAGAAGAAGCCCCGGCUAACUUCGUGCCAGCAGCCGCGGUAAUACGAAGGGGGCUAGCGUUGUUCGGAAUUACUGGGCGUAAAGCGCACGUAGGCGGAUCGAUCAGUUAGGGGUGAAAUCCCAGGGCUCAACCCUGGAACUGCCUCUAAUACUGUCGAUCUCGAGUUCGAGAGAGGUGAGUGGAAUUCCGAGUG
rnacentral:rRNA from 1 species